UGCAGCAGCGAGAAUGGGCUGCAUCAGCUCCAAAGCGCCUGUUGGUUCUGGAUGAUGGGAGCAUCAGUAACACCUUCACCCAUAAAUCCCUGUUCCCAGAGGACAUGGAUCCCCUGUCAGUCAGAGGGACCCUGAGCCCUGAAGGGACCCUGUGGGUGACCGUACGACGGACCACAGAGGCGAGUGGACCAGAGCCACUGGGAGGCCAUAACUACAGCAGCGAGGCUCACCUUUGACCUUUGUGUCCUCUCGAUGACAAACGCAGCUUUCAUUUAGAUGAGUACUGAUUCCAGUGAGUGGAGGUGAUUUUAGUAGCACUGGCCUUUUUGUUCAUUCUUGUCAUUAAACAUUAUUACA